AGUGGCGGACGGGUGAGUAACGCGUGAGAAUCUGCCUUGGGGUCGGGGACAACCACUGGAAACGGUGGCUAAUACCGGAUACGCCUUCGGGUAAAAGAUUUAUUGCCCUAAGAGGAGCUCGCGUCUGAUUAUCUAGUUGGUGAGGUAAGAGCUCACCAAGGCAGCGAUCAGUAGCUGGUCUGAGAGGACGAUCAGCCACACUGGGACUGAGACACGGCCCAGACUCCUACGGGAGGCAGCAGUGGGGAAUUUUCCGCAAUGGGCGAAAGCCUGACGGAGCAAGACCGCGUGAGGGAGGAAGGCUCUUGGGUUGUAAACCUCUUUUCUCAGGGAAGAAGCUCUGACGGUACCUGAGGAAUCAGCCUCGGCUAACUCCGUGCCAGCAGCCGCGGUAAUACGGAGGAGGCAAGCGUUAUCCGGAAUUAUUGGGCGUAAAGCGUCCGCAGGUGGCGAUUCAAGUCUGCUGUCAAAGCACGGGGCUUAACUCCGUAAAGGCAGUGGAAACUGAAUAGCUAGAGUGCCGUAGGGGUAGAGGGAAUUCCCGGUGUAGCGGUGAAAUGCGUAGAGAUCGGGAAGAACAUCGGUGGCGAAAGCGCUCUACUGGACGGCAACUGACACUCAGGGACGAAAGCUAGGGGAGCGAAUGGGAUUAGAUACCCC
rnacentral:rRNA from 1 species